rnacentral:rRNA from 1 species
CGCGUAGGUGGUAGUGCAAGUCUGGGGUGGAAUCUUAGGGCUUAACCCUAAAAUUGCCUUGGAAACUGUAUUACUUGAGUCAGUGAGGGGAGGGUAGAAUUCCCGGUGUAGCGGUGAAAUGCGUAGAUAUCGGGAGGAAGGCCUGUGGCGAAGGCGGCCCUCUGGCGCUGAACUGACACUGAGGCGCGAAAGCGUGGGUAGCAAACAGGAUUAGAUACCCUGGUAGUCCACGCCCUAAACGGUGGGUACUAGGUGUAGGGCUCGUAAGGGUUCUGUGCCGAAGCGAAAGCAUUAAGUACCCCGCCUGGGGAGUACGGCCGCAAGGUUGAA